UGGGGGAUAUUGCACAAUGGGCGAAAGCCUGAUGCAGCGACGCCGCGUGGGGGAUGAAGGCUUUCGGGUUGUAAACCUCUUUCGCUAUCGAACAAGGCCCGCUUAGGGUGGGUUGAGGGUAGGUGGAGAAGAAGCGCCGGCUAACUACGUGCCAGCAGCCGCGGUAAUACGUAGGGCGCGAGCGUUGUCCGGAAUUAUUGGGCGUCAAGGGCUUGUAGGCGGCUUGUUGCGCCUGCUGUGAAAACGCGGGGCUUAACUUCGCGCGUGCAGGGGGUACGGGCAGGCUUGAGUGUGGUAGGGGUGACUGGAAUUCCAGGUGUGGCGGUGGAAUGCGCAGAUAUCUGGAGGAACACCGAUGGCGAAGGCAGGUCACUGGGCCAUUACUGACGCUGAGGAGCGAAAGCAUGGGUAGCGAACAGG
rnacentral:rRNA from 1 species